CACGUAGGGGGCGAGCGUUGUCCGGAUUUAUUGGGCGUAAAGAGCUCGUAGGCGGCUCGGUAAGUCGGGUGUGAAACCUCCAGGCUCAACCUGGAGACGCCACCUGAUACUGCUGUGGCUAGAGUCCGGUAGGGGAGUCGUGGAAUCCUGGUGUAGCGGUGAAAUGCGCAGAUAUCAGGAGGAACACCGGUGGCGAAGGCGGGUCUCUGGGCCGGAACUGACGCUGAGGAGCGAAAGCGUGGGGAGCGAACAGG
rnacentral:rRNA from 1 species